CAGUCGCCACGGGAAUACGUAGGUGGCAAGCGUUGUCCGGAAUCAUUGGGCGUAAAGAGAGCGCAGGCGGACAUAUAAGUCCAUCUUAAAAGUGCGGGGCUCAACCCCGUGAGGGGAUGGAAACUGUAUGCCUUGAGUGCAGGAGAGGAAAGCGGAAUUCCCAGUGUAGCGGUGAAAUGCGUAGAUAUUGGGAGGAACACCAGUGGCGAAGGCGGCUUUCUGGACUGUAACUGACGCUGAGGCUCGAAAGCCAGGGGAGCGAACGGGAUUAGAUACCCCAGUAGUCCCUGUCUCUUAUACA
rnacentral:rRNA from 1 species